rnacentral:rRNA from 1 species
AGUGAACGCUGGCGGUAGGCCUAACACAUGCAAGUCGAACGGCAGCACAGUAAGAGCUUGCUCUUACGGGUGGCGAGUGGCGGACGGGUGAGGAAUACAUCGGAAUCUACUUUUUCGUGGGGGAUAACGUAGGGAAACUUACGCUAAUACCGCAUACGACCUACGGGUGAAAGCAGGGGAUCUUCGGACCUUGCGCGAUUGAAUGAGCCGAUGUCGGAUUAGCUAGUUGGCGGGGUAAAGGCCCACCAAGGCGACGAUACGUAGCUGGUCUGAGAGGAUGGUCAGCCACACUGGAACUGAGACACGGUCCAGACUCCUACGGGAGGCAGCAGUGGGGAAUAUUGGACAAUGGUCGCAAGCCUGAUCCAGCCAUACCGCGUGGGUGAAGAAGGCCUUCGGGUUGUAAAGCCCUUUUGUUGGGAAAGAAAAGCAGCAGGUUAAUACCCCGCUGUUCUGACGGUACCCAAAGAAUAAGCACCGGCUAACUUCGUG